ensembl:lncRNA
GCUAAUGGUACUCAGAGAUGAAGUUUGUUUUGAAAUGAAUUGAAAAUGAAUUGGGAAGAAGAAACCUGUGCACUACGAAAUGCACUCAGUAACCCCCAGCACACGCCGGAGAGCAAGAAGGUCAGGUGGAUCCUGAGAAAUGCAGUCAGACUCCAGAGCUUGACAAGUCCUCAGUGUGCAGGAAAAUCUAAGGGAAAUGCCCACAUUAACUCAUAUUGAUGAUUACCCCAGCAGAGUCUGGACUCUCCCUCGAUUCAGUGAACACACUGGUAUGUAGUAGAGAGCUCUGGAUGGUCAGUGAUGAAAUGCUGGGGUGCUCCUUGGCUCUUGGCUAUCAAUGAACAAGGGAAGGUUUUCAUACAACCAUCUCACAGGCCAGACAGGCAUCCUGAAGCCAUAUCCUCCAACCCCACCUGUGGUUGCCUGUGAAGGGCAAUGCGCCUUGAAUGCUCUCCUCAGUGCACAUGAGGACCUGAUUCUCUAUUCGGACCCACCAAGCAAGUUCAAAGCCUCAGCAGAAGAAAAGGCCAAACAAGAAAUUAUCCCAAGCCUGGCAGCAUUUCCACUUCCUAUAUUUUAUUAUCCACCUCCUCCAGAUGAAGGGAAAUGGAACAGUGAAAGAAAGAAAAGCCAAGGAGAAAAAGGUCUGGGUGCAUAUCCAAGCCACCCAACUGUGACAGUGAAACACCAUACGUGCAAGCUUGAGAAGAUGACCUACAUGAACCUAAUGAGGUCCAGCAAGGCCAAGUGCAAGGUGCCAUGGUAAUCC